rnacentral:rRNA from 1 species
UACGGAGGGUGCGAGCGUUAAUCGGAAUUACUGGGCGUAAAGCGCACGUAGGCGGUCAGGCAAGUCGGGUGUGAAAUCCCCAGGCUUAACCUGGGAACUGCAUUCGAGACUGCAUUGCUAGAGUAUGGGAGAGGGAAGUGGAAUUUCCGGUGUAGCGGUGAAAUGCGUAGAUAUCGGAAGGAACAUCAGUGGCGAAAGCGACUUCCUGGACCAAUACUGACGCUCAUGUGCGAAAGCGUGGGGAGCAAACAGG